rnacentral:tRNA from 1 species
AUCGGUAUAGUGUUAACGGUCUAGCACGUCAGUCUCCAAAACUGAAAGUCAGGGUUCGAAUCCUUGUACCGGUGCCA